rnacentral:lncRNA from 1 species
AUGCCCACAGACGAGCACACCGCCCGCUCUGGAUCUCACAGGCAUCUCAGGAAAACAGGUUCUAAAUGUUCACUAUUUCCAGAAGUUGCUCAAACAGCAGCCGGAAAUCUCUGGGAAUUCAAGAAAAGAUGGAGUAUGAGAUGGACUCUUACAAGUGGCUGUCUAACUGAGAAAAUAACUCAUAAAACCUGCAUUGACGCCGUACAUGGGCUUGGACUGACUUCCUGUCUCCACUGAGAAUGGCAGUAAAACUCCCAGUGGUUUGCAUGGUACCAGUAUUUGUCUCAUCCUCAUUCUUUGAACCACUCUAAUGAGUUCUAAUAUUUUUUUUUUUUUUUUUUUUUUUUUUUUUUUUUUGUAGAUAUCACCUUAUCUUCAGCUUCAAAGACUGAAAGGGUUAUCCUUCUGGGCAGCAUCCAUCUCACUUUAGCCAUUUAAAAGUUAGGGGUCUAAUAAAGUGCAUCAUCCAGGUUGCUCCAUGUGAGAAAAUGGUACCUCAAGUGGAUAGUCUAAAUGUUCCUCUGGAGAGCGAUAAUGAACUCUGAAGUAACAAGAUUGGAUGCCUAGAUAUUAGAUCAUUAAAGAAAGUGAGAUGAAUCCAAUCUUACAUAGAUAUAAUAGUUAGCCUAUUGUUAGUAUUAAAACCAAGAAAAAUAUGGUGAGCAAUGAGAUCUGUAUUGUGAAAUAUCAAAGCUAGGGCCAAUAAAAAAUGAUACAUUAAUCAAAGCGAGUAAAAAAUUAGAGCUUACCUUCUCAAUUCAAAUUCAUUAAUUAAUGCAAUCAGGUAGAAUCUUUAUUCAGUACACCCCUUAUUCCGUGAAAAUGUUAUCAUUACUCAUUUCCACUUCCAUGUGUUGAAGACUGUCUCUCUCUGAUGAACACCUUGCCAUUGCAAGAUAAGGCAGCUGUCAAUUGUGCUUACGUGUCUUAGUGAUGGUGGCAUGUGUCUAAGUAAUAUGCACAAUGUGUUUCUAAAACAACCUAAUGGCUCAGCUGAAUUAAAACAGGCUUGCAUGGGAAUCUGACAGGCUGUCUUAAUUUGUUGGACAGGAUGUAUUGCAGUAAGAAUAUUUCAAUUUGCAUAGUUUCAAAACACAAUGCAAUACAGUGAAAAAAACCUGAAAAUACCCAUAUAUGGUAGGCUCAUCAUGAGUGCUAUUGUCAUCAAUAAACUUCCUAUAACUGUUACUGAAACAGGCAAUGCACUUUUGGCAUUUCUACCAUUUAGUUACCUGUGAAUGAUUUGUAUGAUUUCUUCAGAUUUGAAUAGUAUCUUUGUUUGUAAAAAGCUUUUAAAAUGCUUCAUAACCAGAUAGCAUCACCUCAGAAUCCUCCACAUUUCUCUUCAGAAUUUUUUCAUACAUGUAGUAUCAUUUCACAUAUGUAUCUCCUUUGCCUUUUAUGAUGUUUCGUUGUUGUUUCUUUGUUGUUGUUUCUUUGUUAUAAAUGUCUCUAGAUUUCUCAGCCUGGAAGGCCAACUGUGUUCUGGGCUGCNUUAAAGAAAAAACAAAGCUCUAGGUUUGUCCUAUGUAACAUGAGCUUUAGUGCUUGUGACAGGUACCAGAUUUACAGCACUGGGGACUGCAAUCCUCUCUACCCACAGCAGGUAAGGCUUUUCCCCACCUGUCACUCAGCACACUCCAGUGGGAAAAGCACCAGAUGUGCAAAAACUCUCCAUUGCUCUUUAAUCCUUUGGUGCUGACUGAGUAGCAUUGCAUCAGGGACAUCAACCUAUUUCACAUGGGCCAAC